GAUGAACGCUGGCGGCGUGCCUAACACAUGCAAGUCGAGCGAUUUACUUCGGUAAAGAGCGGCGGACGGGUGAGUAACGCGUGGGUAACCUGCCCUGUACACACGGAUAACAUACCGAAAGGUAUGCUAAUACGAGAUAAUAUGCUUUUAUCGCAUGGUAGAAGUAUCAAAGCUUUUGCGGUACAGGAUGGACCCGCGUCUGAUUAGCUAGUUGGUAAGGUAACGGCUUACCAAGGCGACGAUCAGUAGCCGACCUGAGAGGGUGAUCGGCCACAUUGGAACUGAGACACGGUCCAAACUCCUACGGGAGGCAGCAGUGGGGAAUAUUGCACAAUGGGCGAAAGCCUGAUGCAGCAACGCCGCGUGAGCGAUGAAGGCCUUCGGGUCGUAAAGCUCUGUCCUCAAGGAAGAUAAUGACGGUACUUGAGGAGGAAGCCCCGGCUAACUACGUGCCAGCCGCCGCAGUAA
rnacentral:rRNA from 1 species